rnacentral:rRNA from 1 species
GACGAACGCUGGCGGCGUGCUUAACACAUGCAAGUCGAACGGAAAGGCCCUGCUUUUGUGGGGUGCUCGAGUGGCGAACGGGUGAGUAACACGUGAGUAACCUGCCCUUGACUUUGGGAUAACUUCAGGAAACUGGGGCUAAUACCGGAUAGGAGCUCCUGCUGCAUGGUGGGGGUUGGAAAGUUUCGGCGGUUGGGGAUGGACUCGCGGCUUAUCAGCUUGUUGGUGGGGUAGUGGCUUACCAAGGCUUUGACGGGUAGCCGGCCUGAGAGGGUGACCGGCAAAGUGGGAAUUGAGAUACGGCCCAGACCCGUACGGGGGGAAGCGGUGGGGAAUAUGGAACAAUGGCGGAAGCCUGAUGCAGCAACGCCGCGUGCGGGAUGACGGCCUUCGGGUUGUAAACCGCUUUCGCCUGUGACGAAGCGUGAGUGACGGUAAUGGGUAAAGAAGCACCGGCUAACUACGUG